rnacentral:lncRNA from 1 species
CCGCCUAGAGGCUCAGUCUUCGAGCUCUGCCAGGCGGUGCAACCGCUCCAGUCAGGAGGUGCAACCGCCUGAUCCCGGAAUUCCGGGAUUUGAUCGUUUUGAGCUCCAAAUUUGAACUGGGUUGGGGCCUAUAAAUACCCCACCCAUUCAGCACUGAAAAGAUACAGACCUACACCGAAUCCUUGAUCUUUUCUGUGAUUCUAAGAGCUCAAAUUUGUGUAAAGUCCAAAAGUUCUCCUCUUUCUGUUCUUCAAGUCUUGAGUUGUAAAGAGAGGAGAGAAAGGUUCUGUAAGGGUUGUCUCCUGAGCCCG